GGAGGAUCUCCGUAGGGCUGAAGCCGGUGGGUCAUGCUGCUUACUGUAGCUGGUUUUUGAUUAGUCUGCGUUGCCCAGAUGCUAUUGCACUGGGUGGUAAAAUGGCCUAGAUUAUUAUCUCUGUGCCUCUAGGAGCUGGCACUUCACCUGCCUAACAUGGAAUGCUGCUUCUUAAAUGGCGUUAGAUUGGAUUCUGGUGAAUUAAGGACUGUUCACAAAUCUGGAACAGAAACAAAUGAUCACUCCGUAACAAGAACUCCAAGGAACAAGUGAUGCUCUGCCUGUACCCCUGCAAGCUUACUGGAGCCAGGGACAACCAGGCUACCAAGUUCUGGGACUGAAACCAUGCAUCAUUA
rnacentral:lncRNA from 1 species